rnacentral:rRNA from 1 species
AGGAAUAUUGGACAAUGGAGGCAACUCUGAUCCAGCCAUGCCGCGUGAAGGAAUAAGGCCCUAUGGGUUGUAAACUUCUUUUAGACGGGACAAAACCCCUUUACGUGUAAAGGGUUGAUGGUACUGUCAGAAUAAGCAUCGGCUGACUUCGUGCCAGCAGCCGCGGUAAUACGAAGGAUGCAAGCGUUAUCCGGAAUUAUUGGGUUUAAAGGGUGCGUAGGCGGACUAAUAAGUCAGUGGUGAAAGCCUGCAGCUUAACUGCAGAAUUGCCAUUGAUACUGUUAGUCUUGAGUACAGUUGAGGUAGGCGGAAUGUGUCAUGUAGCGGUGAAGUGCUUAGAUAUGACACAGAACACCGAUUGCGAAGGCAGCUUGCUAAGCUGUAACUGACGCUGAGGCACGAAAGCGUGGGGAGCAAACA